rnacentral:rRNA from 1 species
AUGAACGCUGGCGGCGUGCUUAACACAUGCAAGUCGAACGAGAAGUGAAGACGGAAACCUUCGGGCGGAAGGCUUUAUUUCGAGUGGCGGACGGGUGAAUAACGCGUGGGUAACCUGCCUCAUACAGGGGGAUAACAGUUGGAAACGACUGUUAAUACCGCAUAAGACCACAGCACCGCAUGGUGCGGGGGUAAAAACUCCGGUGGUAUGAGAUGGACCCGCGUUCGAUUAGCCAGUUGGCGGGGUAACGGCCCACCAAAGCGACGAUCGAUAGCCGAUCUGAGAGGAUGACCGGCCACAUUGGGACUGAGACACGGCCCAAACUCCUACGGGAGGCAGCAGUGGGGAAUAUUGCACAAUGGGGGAAACCCUGAUGCAGCGACGCCGCGUGAGUGAAGAAGUAUUUCGGUAUGUAAAGCUCUAUCAGCAGGGAAGAAAAUGACGGUACCUGAGUAAGAAGCCCCGGCUAACUACGUG